rnacentral:lncRNA from 1 species
UGUUAGAAUGUGUCAAUGUAUUGAUUUAAUUAAGUUUAGUUUAGUUUAAGCCAAAUCCAUUGACGUAAUAGCCAGAGUAAACGUUGGACAGGAAGGACGUUUACUACAGUUAAUAAAUAAUAGUGCAUGAUAUAGACUGUGUUGAGAACACAUGUAAAAGAGUUAAGUUUACGCUCUUGAAGAGGUAACAUCAACGACGAAGUCAGAUCAAGAUAGAAAUAUUAAGUGUGAGAUAUAAUCUGUAUAUAACAAUCAAAGUUUAUAUAACUAUAAUAAAUAAAGUUUUGGAGCAACUAUUGUGUAUGCAUUGGUAAUCCUAACUGGCAAAAAGUAACCUGUAUGGCACAAGGUAACAUUUGGCGACCCCGGCAGGAUUGCCAAUGAAGGGAAUUUUGUUGUUGGUUCUGGUCGUGGUUGUCUGAAACAACACGCAGAAGUAGUCCAGCGAGGGG